rnacentral:rRNA from 1 species
AGAGUUUGAUCCUGGCCCAGAGCGAUCGCUGGCGGCAGGCUUAACACAUGCAAGUCGAACGGGCUUCUUCGGAAGUCAGUGGCAGACGGGUGAGUAACACGUGGGAACGUGCCCUUCGGUUCGGAAUAACUCAGGGAAACUUGAGCUAAUACCGGAUACGCCCUUAUGGGGAAAGGUUUACUGCCGAAGGAUCGGCCCGCGUCCGAUUAGCUUGUUGGUGGGGUAACGGCCUACCAAGGCGACGAUCAGUAGCUGGUCUGAGAGGAUGAUCAGCCACACUGGGACUGAGACACGGCCCAGACUCCUACGGGAGGCAGCAGUGGGGAAUAUUGGACAAUGGGCGCAAGCCUGAUCCAGCCAUGCCGCGUGAGUGAUGAAGGCCUUAGGGUUGUAAAGCUCUUUUGUCCGGGACGAUAAUGACGGUACCGGAAGAAUAAGCCCCGGCUAACUUCGUGCCAGCAGCCGCGGUAAUACGAAGGGGGCUAGCGUUGCUCGGAAUCACUGGGCGUAAAGGGCGCGUAGGCGGCCGAUUAAGUCGGGGGUGAAAGCCUGUGGCUCAACCACAGAAUUGCCUUCGAUACUGGUUGGCUUGAGACCGGAAGAGGACAGCGGAACUGCGAGUGUAGAGGUGAAAUUCGUAGAUAUUCGCAAGAACACCAGUGGCGAAGGCGGCUGUCUGGUCCGGUUCUGACGCUGAGGCGCGAAAGCGUGGGGAGCAAACAGGAUUA